rnacentral:rRNA from 1 species
UACAUGGGGUGCAAACGUUGCUCGGAAUUAUUGGGCGUAAAGCGCGCGUAGGCGGUUACUCAAGUCGGAUGUGAAAGCCCUCGGCUUAACUGAGGAAGUGCACCCGAAACUGAGUAGCUAGAGUACCAAAGAGGGUCGCGGAAUUCCCGGUGUAGAGGUGAAAUUCGUAGAUAUUGGGAAGAACACCGGUGGCGAAGGCGGCUCACUGGCUCGUAUCUGACGCUCAGGCGCGACAGCGUGGGGAUCAAACAGG